CGUGGAUUGAUUUGUCUGGUUAAUUCCGGUAACGAGCGAGACUCUAGCCUACUAAAUAGUAACGAGAUUACCAUUGUCUUAGUUGCUUCUUAGAGGGAUUUUCGGUGUUUAGCCGCACGAGAUUGAGCAAUAACAGGUCUGUGAUGCCCUCAGAUGUCCGGGGCUGCACGCGCGCUACACUGGCAAAAUCAACGUGCUUGUCCUUCCCCGAAAGGGGCGGGUAAACCAUUGAAAAUUUGCCGUGAUUGGGAUCGGAAAUUGCAAUUAUUUUCCGUGAACGAGGAAUUCCAAGUAAGUGCGAGUCAUCAGCUCGCGUUGAAUACGUCCCUGCCCUUUGUAC
rnacentral:rRNA from 1 species